AGAGCGAACGCUGGCGGCAGGCCUAACACAUGCAAGUCGAACGGACUCUCCGGAGUUAGUGGCGGACGGGUGAGUAACACGUGGGAACGUGCCUUUUGGUUCGGAAUAGCUCCUGGAAACGGGUGGUAAUGCCGAAUGUGCCCUUCGGGGGAAAGAUUUAUCGCCAUUAGAGCGGCCCGCGUCUGAUUAGCUAGUUGGUGAGGUAAAGGCUCACCAAGGCGACGAUCAGUAGCUGGUCUGAGAGGAUGACCAGCCACAUUGGGACUGAGACACGGCCCAAACUCCUACGGGAGGCAGCAGUGGGGAAUCUGCGCAAUGGGCAAAGCCUGACGCAGCCAUGCCGCGUGAAUGAUGAAGGUCUUAGGAUUGUAAAAUUCUUUCACCGGGGACGAUAAUGACGUACCGGAGAAGAAGCCCGCUAACUCGUGCCAGCAGCCGC
rnacentral:rRNA from 1 species